rfam:Triticum aestivum genome assembly, contig: Triticum_aestivum_CS42_TGACv1_scaffold_327982_4BS
AUUCUACUUCCUUCGUCCGGAAAUACCCGUCGGAGGAAUGGAUAUAUAUCUAGAUGUAUUUUAGUUCUAGAUACAUCCGUUUUUAUGCAUUUCUCUGACAAGAAUUUCCGGACAGAGGGAGUAUAAC